UAAAAAAAAAAAAAAAAAAAAAAAAUCGUGCAGCUGCGCAGUGGCUGGGGCGUGCCUGUUGGGGGGAUGCCUGGGUGUUGUCAUCUACUGCCUCCUGUCCCUUUGCGGUAGACUCCCACUGAGAGGGCCUCAUGAGCUUGCCUGGAGAGGCAGUAAAGUUUACCUCCCUGCCUGUGCAUGUUUGCUCAGGUUGUUCUCAGAUCCUAAACUGGGAGGCCAGUGACGGAGAUGACCACAAAGCUAUUUGGGGGACAAGGCGACUUACCACCUUGGAAAGCCCUGAGAGAUUUGAAAGUAUUGCUUUGCUGAAAACAUCUGGCUGCCAGUCUAGAAUGUGACUGUUAAGAGUCCUCGUAAAAGGAGAAGACCAAGACCUGGCUCAUGAAGUGGUAUUGAUUUUCUGAGUUCCUGCUCGAGUUGCCAAAGAUACAACACUGUUGUUAAGGAGAGGAGAUGCCUUGGCCUUCAAUAUCACAGGAGGGUUCCUCGGGACUUACCAAUUUGGCCUUCUUCCAGAUCUGAAAACCGAUUACAAAUAUGAAACAGAUUUCACUACUGGACUUGAAUGCCAUAUAAAAAAACAACACGAUCUUCAGAAUAAUUGAAAAAGAGCCUCACCAAAGAAUAGAUAGAAUGUGAAUGGCAAGGUAUCAAGGAGGUUUUGGUAUUAGGUCUGAUGCAUAACAGACCCUGAAAUGUUGGUGGAGUGAAUGAAGAAUCUCUGUUGCUACAUCAUGGGAACUAUACUGAGACAGCAAUGCAAUGUGUGUGACUCCCAGUGCCAUUCCAAGAAAAAAAAAAAAUAAAGGCAUUUUCAACAAGUGGACAAAACUGUUUCAUUCAAGAGAUUUUUGCUUUUUUCUCUCCUGGAAUAAUUGCUGUGUUUUGCUUCCUUGACAUUUCAUCAUGUUCCUUGAGAUUGUGGUAAGGUAUGUAUACUAUAUGGCAGGAGAGAGUCUUCUAGGACUCUGCAAACUCUUUUUUUUUUUUUUUCCCCUCUUCCAUUAUACUAAAGUGUAUACCUGGUCAUCCCUGUAAUUUUCCUUUAGGGAUACACUGGUGUUUAUUUUCUUAUAUGGGGGCCACCCUUCCCAUAAGCUUAAGCAAAAAUCUGUUUGGGAACAUUUAUUUCACAUCACUAUCUCCCUUCUGUAUCUCCUCUUCUAUUUCAAAUCCCACUCUUUGUUGGUCCUUCAGUAUCAUCGAGAUGCCCUACUUUUGUGUUCUUAUGAUGUAUUGUUCAGUUGUAGCAUAUACUUUAAAACAACAUCAUCCAAUUAUUUGUCUUCCUUCACCAAUAGACACCUCAGUGGCAAGAACUUUGUCUAACUUAUAGCCCCAGGAUUUAGCACAGGAUAAAGUCCGUAGUAGAGGCUGGGUGACAACGGAUGGAAAAUAGACUGUUCAGUGGAAUCACUGCAUGAAAUGAAGGGUGGGGUGUUUGGGCUAAGGGAAAGGAUUGCUAAGGAAGAAUAAGAAAGUAACAGGAGUUGAUUUGGAGAAUACAAAAAGCUAAAAACCAAGUUCUGUUAGUAUCUGCAGAGUUCCUCACUUUUCAUCUGUGGAAAGAGAAGAGAGUACUUUGCUUGACCCACAGGCAUAAUCUAGCUCCUCCGAAGUUAGAGAAUUUCCAGCAGAGUGAAGAAUUAAGCGCAGGCCUGCAUUAUUUGCUGAUGUCUUAAUAUCUUCCAUAACUAAAAGCCAAGUAGAGUAUAAGAAGCUUCUAUGAGCUCUGAAAGUCAAUUCAUUUUAAAAUACAUGUAUCGAGAGCCCACUUUGUGCUGCAACUAUGGAUAUAAAGACAACUGGGACAUUGUCUCAUAAUAAUUCCCUUUUCUCAACCAAAUUAGCUAUUCUCAUCACUAUAGCUGUCUCUAUAUCAGACAUUCAUAACACCACUUGAGGAGAUCUCUAAUACUUUCUUGUGAAGAACUCCAAAUAGCUUCUUUUCCUAUAGGUAUGCCAUUCUUCUGUGCCCACUGCCAAUUUAACCUUAAGUUUUCAGUAAAUGAGAUAGCCAAGUCGGGUUCUAAUAGUUAGUGUUAAAUUGGUAGUUUCUUGGGGCAUGUGGGUGGCUCAGUCAGUUAAGUAUCUGCUUUCCCAUCAGGUCAUGAUCCCAGGGUCUUGGGAUUGAGCCCCAUGUCAGACUCCCUGCUUAGCAAGGAGUCUGCUUCUACCUCUACCUCUCCCUCUGCCUCUGCCACCUGCUUCUGCAUUCUCUCUCUCAAAUAAAUAAAUUUUUUAAAAUGUUAAAAAAUAAGAAUAAGUUGGUAGUUUCUUACUAUAUAUUACAUUUUCAUCUAUCCAUUUAAAAUGUGUAUUGUGCAAUGACCAUAAACCUAGAAUGUUUCUGUCCACAGGAAUAUGUACACGAACAAUAUAGAAAAUAUUCCUAUUUUCAUAGACCUUUUAUGCCCAUGCGGCAGACAAUAAACAAACAUGUAAACGGUAUCAGCCAGCAUUUUUUCUACAAUAAUGCUGUGAAACAAAUAGCUCUAAAAUCUCUGAAUUAAAACACCGAACACUCACUUAUCUCAUUAGCAAUUCUUAGGUAAGCUGGAAUUGUAGGGUUCAGCUUACCAUGGCUUGAAACUGUCAGUUGGGAUCUGAUUCGCUAGUCCAGAGAAACCAAAUCCCUGGACCAGUUGCUAUCUGGGGCCUGUGCUUCUCAUGAAGAAUGGCAGGAGUGCAAGAGAACAAGCAAGAUCAUGCCAGCAAGUCUAAAACUCUGCUUCUGUCACAUUUAUUAACAUUUUAUUAACCAAGACAAUUCACAUGCCAAACCCACUAUGAAUGGA